AUUAGGAAUCUUGCACAAUGGGGGAAACCCUGAUGCAGCGACGUCGCGUGGAGGAUGACGGCCUUCGGGUUGUAAACUCCUUUUAGCAGGGAAGAAAAAAAUGACGGUACCUGCUGAAUAAGCCCCGGCUAACUACGUGCCAGCAGCCGCGGUAAUACGUAGGGGGCGAGCGUUGUCCGAAGUUACUGGGCGUAAAGCGCGCGUAGGCGGCUUUUUAAGUUUGGGGUGAAAGGUUCAACGCUCAACGUGAACAGUGCCUCGGAUACUGGAAGGCUUGAGUUCGGGAGAGGGCAGUGGAAUUCCUGGUGUAGCGGUGAAAUGCGUAGAUAUCAGGAGGAACACCGGUGGCGAAGGCGACUGCCUGGCCUAGAACUGACGCUGAGGCGCGAAAGCGUGGGGAGCGAACGG
rnacentral:rRNA from 1 species